UAACACAACAUCUUGGAGAACCGGACUAAUACUCCUACCGAGACUAUCCAAGUAAAAUACGUCUCUCAUACCUGGCCUGGAGGGUAGGUCAGGAAUACUAUAACUU
ncrna:unclassified sequences PhotoRC-II RNA